CGGGGCGCCGGGCAUAUUAGGUCCCGCGCGGGGCCCCGGGCCGCAGACACGACGCCGCCACCGUCGCCGCCGCCAGAGGAGAAAUGUCUGAAGACAGACCCCUCUCCAGCGACAUCUUGAUGGAGACUCUCCUGUGUGAGCAGUUUGUGGAUCCCCUGACCAUGGAGGUUGUCGGUGGGAGUGACCCUGAAGAGGACCCGGACUCUGUGGAGGACCCUUUGGAAUGCAUGGAGAACAGUGACGCACUGGCCCUGCAGCUGGCCUGCAUCGCGGACCAGAUGGAUGUGAGCCUCAGGGCCCGGAGGCUGGCCCAGCUCUACGAGGUGGCCACGUACAGCCCGGGUCUCGCUUUCAUCCUUGACCGGACCGACAUCAGGGAUGUUCUUAGCGGUGUCGUGGAUGUUUUCGCUGACUUCCAGGAGGACAUAGUGAGGCUCUGGAGAUCCCUGAGCUCUGGGUCCUGGGUGUCCGGCAAACAGGCCGUGCUGCUGGCGCUCCUGGCGCUGCUGCUGGCGAUGUUCAGCGGGGGUCUGCGCCUGCUGCUCAAGUGAGGCGUCCAUGGCUCAGGGCGGGGCUGGCCCCGCCCCUGCGACCACUGCCCUGGAGUCGUGGAUCUGCUAGUACCACCCCAGGACGCGAGGACAAGGCAGUGCCCAGAGAGCAAGCAGUAAGGCCUGCUGUUCCCGACCCCUCGGAAAGCAGACCCCUCCCUUAUUUGGGAUUUUGUUCCUGGGAGCUGAACAUGACCCUACAACACCAUCCUGCCCGCAGCACUGCCAAAGAACCUGGACGUGGAGGGUCUGGGUCUCCCGAGGCUGCCACUGCUUGAAGCUCUCAGGGAAAGGGCUUCAAACAGGCUCAGUACUCAAAAUAAGCAUUUCUUUGUGCAAUAAAGAUUUGAGAGGUAGUUCUUUUCAAAGAACUAUCACACUUCAAGUGACAUGCAUGCAGGCCACAGUGGGAAUCAGCGUGUCCACUUCUGUUGGUGUUUUAACCCAGGGCUUCAU